UGUAUGUCAGACUUCCAAGAAAAGCUCGCAAUGUCACAAAUAAAAAUGCCUGUACCAUAACCGACACAGGUGGGUAGGUAGAGUAUACUAAGGGGCGCGAGAUAACUCUCUCUAAGGAACUCGGCAAAAUGACUCCGUAACUUCGGGAGAAGGAGUGCCUUAUUUAUAAGGUUGCAAUAACAAGAUCCAAGCAACUGUUUAUCAAAAACACAGGUCUCCGCUAAGUCGUAAGACGAUGUAUGGGGGCUGACGCCUGCCCAGUGCCAGAAGGUUAAAGAAGUUGGUUAGUGUAUGCGAAGCUGAUGACUGAAGCCCUGGUGAACGGCGGCCGUAACAAUAACGGUCCUAAGGUAGCGAAAUUCCUUGUCGGGUAAGUUCCGACCCGCACGAAAGGCGUAAUGAUUUGGAUACUGUCUCGGAGAGAGGCUCGGUGAAAUAGACUUGUCUGUGAAGAUGCGGACUACCUGCACCAGGACAGAAAGACCCUAUGAAGCUUUACUGUAACUUGAAAUUGGAAUUGGACUUUGCUUGCGCAGUAUAGGUGGGAAGCGUUGAAAAUAUUCUUGCGGGAGUAUUGGAGCUAUCAGUGAGAUACCACUCUUGUAAUGUUAGAUUUCUAACUUUGAACCAUAAUCUGGUCAAAGAACAGUUUCAGGUGGGCAGUUUGACUGGGGCGGUCGCCUCCCAAAUGGUAACGGAGGCGUACAAAGGUUUCCUCUGAACGGAUAGAAAUCGUAUCUAGAGUGUAAAGGCAUAAGGAAGCUUGACUGUGAGACCUACAAGUCGAGCAGGGACGAAAGUCGGUCUUAGUGAUCUGACGGUACUGAGUGGAAAGGCCGUCACUCAACGGAUAAAAGUUACUCUAGGAUAACAGGCUGAUCUCCCCCAAGAGUUCACAUCGACGGGGAGGUUUGGCACCUCGAUGUCGGCUCAUCGCAUCCUGGGGCGGUAGUACGUCCCAAGGGUUGGGCUGUUCGCCCAUGAAAGCGGUACGCGAGCUGGGUUCAGAACGUCGUGAGACAGUUCGGUCCAUAUCCGGUGUAGGCGCUAGAAUAUUGAGAGGAGCCUUCUUUAGUACGAGAGGACCGAGAAGGACACACCGCUGGUGUACCAGUUAUCGUGCCAACGGUAAACGCUGGGUAGCUAUGUGUGGAGUGGAUAACCGCUGAAAGCAUCUAAGUGGGAAGCCCACCUCGAGAUGAG
rnacentral:rRNA from 1 species